UACUUGCUCUUGAGGGUGGUUAGUGGUGGUGGUGGUGGUUAAGUCAGUUCUGAAACAGCAAAGGAAAUAGCAGUUUGUUCUUGUUGUUGCUUUUUGUUUUGUUUUGUUUUCUGAAAUUUUCUAUCACAAUGUCCAUAGUUGGAAAAAAGAGCCUAGGUAGUAAAUCUGAGGUGGCAGCUUAGUGUCAUUGUUCUUCGGAUUUCUCCACUUUCCCUGUCUUUGGGUGCCAGUUUCAUGUGUGUGCUGGUAAUCCAGUAUUUAUGAAAUAAAUUUUGCUACAUGCAUUUUGCCUCCAACUCCAUGUGGCUUGCACCUGUACGUGACAAGUCUGGAAUCCCACACUCUUUUCUCUGCCAGCCUGUCUACACUUGGAACUCUGCAUGAGCUUUGGGCUGCACCUGUACCAGGAGGUACACGCUGUUCACAUGUGUGUGUCCAACCCAAGCCUGCGUUCAGCUGGAUGGAUCCUCUGAGCGUGCUCUGGCCCCCAGUGGCUUCAAGAGGCUGUAAUUGGCAAGGCGCACACAGCCGGUAGCUGGAAGCCAAGAUACCACUGGAGCUCUCUGAUCCCGUUCUUACAGCUUUCCUGGAACAGCAUGGUUUACUUCAGCUAAUCAUGUCAAUCACAGGCCUUCUCUUCCAACAAUCCUUAAAACCAGCAAGUCCUUUGUGGCAGACAAUACGUAUGUUAACAUUGCCUCAGAGAUUUCAAGAAAAGAUCCUCCUACCUGAUGAAGGGAAUAGAUUAAUUUCAUCUGCUCACUUUGUCCAGGAAAGUUUUGUAGCCAGCUCUCUGAGCCUCCUCCUAUACCUGUACUGCAGAGGAUCAGAUAUCAAUCAGAUAUCAGUGCUUGCCUGGAAUUCCAGCACUGGGGCAAUCUGGAGAGCAACAUGCAUUUCACAAAAGACAGCGAUGCUAUCUGCCUGGAAGUGUACUUUCUGAUUGACGGUAGAUAUUUGUGUUUCUUCCUUUGUAAUUUGUUUUUAUUUUAUUUCUUGCACUUGCCUUAUUGCAGUGGCUCAAAUUUCAUGGAAUAUUCUAGUUAGAGUUAUGAGAGUAGACAUCAUUGCUUUCUUACUGAUGUAAGGAGAAAAGAUUCAUUACUUGCAUUUGAAUAUACUGCCAGCUACAGGUGUUUGGCUUUGGGUUUAUGUUUGAGAAAGUUUUAAAUGUAUACCUGUAUUAUCUGAGAAUUGCUUUUGGUAGAUGAUCACUUUUAAAGAUCAUUUUACAUCGAUGAAGUACAUCGUGUUUAUUUUCCUUAAGGUCUUGGUAUAAUGGAAUACCUCUAUAGAUUUUUGAAUACUGUAUUAUGUACUGUGCCUGAAAUAAAUAAAUUGUACUUAUUAAUUAUUUGUAAAUUCUAAUUUUACCUUUUUAUUGUAUUUUUAUAUAUUUGUAUGUGACACAGAGUCUCACACAUCCAAAACUAGCCAAGAAAGGCAUUGAACGUCAGAUCUUCUUUUCCAGCUGCAAAGGAGAGGUCUAGCAGGCUUGUGCCAUCAUGUAUAAUUUAUUUGAUGCUGGAGGUUGAACAGAAAGCACUAUGCAUUAUUGUCAAGUAGUCUUACCAAAGGGCUAUAGACCAAGCCAUGUCUGAUACUUUUUGAAAGGAUUUCAUGCCCAUAUUUGUGAGAAACAAUUGCAUAUACUUCAUAUGAGCAUUAGCAACAUAUAGUAUCGAAGUAGACUCUGAUGGUAGCUUUAAAAUUAAAUUUUGAAAUAAAGUUUUGAUGAUGAAAAAUAAA